GUGCCCGUAGCUCAGCCGGAUAGAGCGUCAGCCUUCUAAGCUGAAUGUCGGUGGUUCGAAUCCACCCGGGCAUG
rnacentral:tRNA from 1 species